UUAACUCAAAUUUGUAUGGAGUUGGAACGUUUGCCUACGUUUGGCGCUAGGGGCGCUGUUCCAAUUGCAUACCAAUUAUGAGUUA
rfam:Bombyx mori DNA, contig: Bm_scaf11_contig9168, strain: p50T/Dazao, build 2, whole genome shotgun sequence.